GAUGAACGCUGGCGGCGUGCCUAAUACAUGCAAGUCGAGCGAACAGAUCAGGAGCUUGCUCCUUUGACGUUAGCCGCGGGCGUGUGAGUAACACGUGUGUACCCUCCUUAUAAUCCUGGGAUACCUUCGGGAAACCGGAGCUAAUACCGGAUAACAUUUAGUACCGCAUGGUUCUGAAGUGAAAGAUGGUUUUGCUAUCACUUAUAGAUGUAUCCGCGGCGUAUUGGCUAGUUGGUGAGGUAACGGCUUACCAAGGGGACGAUACGUAGCCGACCUGAGAGGGGGAUCGGCCCCGAGGGAACGGAGACACGGUCCAGAACUCUAAGGGAGGCAGCAGUAGGGAAUGUUGCGCAAGGGGCGAAAGCCUGACGGAGCAACGCCGCGUGAGGGAUGAAGGGUUUGGGCUCGUAAAACGCUGUUAUUAGGGAAGAACAAAUGUGUAAGUAACUGUGCACAUCUUGACGGUACCUAAUCAGAAAGCCACGGCUAACUACGUG
rnacentral:rRNA from 1 species